rnacentral:rRNA from 1 species
GACGAACGCUGGCGGCGUGCUUAACACAUGCAAGUCGAACGGUGAAGCGCCUUCCUUUUUGGUGGGUGUGGAUGAGUGGCGAACGGGUGAGUAACACGUGAGUAACCUGGCCCAUUAUUUUGGAUAACCGCAUGAAAGUGUGGGUAAUACGGGAUAUUCUGGGUCUGUCGCAUGAUGGGUCUGGGAAAGAUAUUGUUGCGGUGGGGGAUGGGGACGCGGCCUAUCAGCUUGUUGGUGCGGUGAUGGCCUACCAAGGCGGUGAGGGGUAGCCGGCCUGAGAGGGUGGACGUUCACACGUGGACUGAGACACGGGCCAGACUACUAGCGGAGGCAGCAGUGUGUAAUAUUGCACAAUGGGCGCAAGCCUGAUGCAGCGACGCCGCGUGAGGGAUGGAGGCCUUCGGGUUGUGAACCUCUUUCGACAGUGAAGCAGUCCUGCCUCGUUUGUGGGUGGGUUGACGGUAGCUGGAUAAUAAGCGCCGGCUAACUACGUG